rnacentral:rRNA from 1 species
UACGUAGGGUGCGAGCGUUGUCCGGAAUUAUUGGGCGUAAAGAGCUCGUAGGCGGUUUGUCGCGUCGGCCGUGAAAACUUGGGGCUUAACCCCAAGCUUGCGGUCGAUACGGGCAGACUUGAGUUCGGCAGGGGAGACUGGAAUUCCUGGUGUAGCGGUGAAAUGCGCAGAUAUCAGGAGGAACACCGGUGGCGAAGGCGGCAUCCUGGACCGACAUUGACGCUGAGGAGCGAAAGCUAGGGGAGCAAACGGG